rnacentral:rRNA from 1 species
CGAAAACUCGCCCACAGCUUUGUGUUCGAUCUCGAUCUCAAGGCGGUGGAGCGGAA